GAAGUUGUGGCUUCAUUUGAAAAAGGAAAAUUGUUGACUGAACUCUAAGUGGAUACUGUAAGUGAACUGUAAAGUUUCCUGUGUGUGGACUUUCCCCUCUGAGAUAACACGAUAGGCAGGGGUGAUAAGGCUGGGCGUUCGCAGAGGCAAGAAUUCAACCAGAGAGAUGCUUCUCACAAGAAACUGCAUGCAACAGGCAAUACUGUCAACACUGCAAUGUUCCUCGCACCCACACUGGAGGGAAGUGUGCAUGGCUUGUACUGUAUGAGCACACUGUGAAGCAGGUGGAGAGAGAAAAAUGUCCCCAGCCUCCAACUUGUUGCCAGUUGAUGCCAUUACUCCAAUCCCUCAGAUGUGGCCAUGGGGCUGGCACGCUCGGUUGUCCAGGUGAUGGCUACCGUGGAGACAGAGGGCCUGACCGGUCUUGGCCCACACCGUUACACCGACUGUGCCAACUUACCAUCAACUGGAUGCUAAAUGGCAGCGACACGUACGCCACCUUCCCCCUGCUGCAGACCGUGGGCACAUGUGUUCAAAGCUGAGAGAAGAGAAACUAAAAAGGGGGUGCGCAGCCAUUUGAAAUCAAGAGAUCUGAAAUCAGAUUUGCCACCCUCAAAUCGAACCACAUCAGUUAAAAGGCUGUUGAAAUAUCUGACCCGGCAUCAGCGGUGUAGGGAGGUGAUUUUGUUGCUGGUGGGCUGUAAGCUACACAGAGAAGAGAUUUGCAGAGACAGCCCAUAACAGCUCCCUUGGAACCAAUGACUCAGAUAUGCAGAUGUGUUUACUUCCCUUCUGUUUCCCACCUCAACCAGCACACAAAAGGCAGGGGGAAUGAAAGUGCUUGAUAAUGUCUUUAAGUGUUUCAUUUAUAUAUUUAUAUGCUGUUAUAAAGAACUCAUUUUUUACUAAAACUUAGACAGGCACUUCAAAUGGGCUCUUUGCCUCUUCUUUCUAUUCCCUCCCUCCCUUCUGAGGGUAUUCAUCUUUUGUCUAAUGCGUAGCGCUGCUCUCUGUUAGUUUCUUUCUGACACCAUGCCAGCAGAGUCAUCUGCAAAGGGACUCAUGUAGGGAUUAAAAACCAUCAACAGCUCCCCUUUAACAGUGAGGUAGAAAAAAAACAUUGAAAAAUAAAAUACAAAAAAAAAAAAAAAACUCCAGACAGUUUGGAGAAAACUUGUAGAAAGAGAAUGCAGAUUGUCACCUGACCCUGAGGCAAGGCAGCCCUAAAUAUAAUAAAGAGAAGACAACAGAAGAAGACGAGGCGACACGACACGGGUAAUGUGUUUUCUCUGCUGGUGUCGUCUGGCAGAUCUGGGAUGAUUGAGUGCUGAUGCCUGCCUGGGCCGCUUCAGAGAAGAUCGUCUACCCCCCCCCCCCCCCUCCUCCUCCCCUCAACCCCCUUCAGCUCGUACUCACAUGCACACACGGGCACAGCCUCCCUACUCAUGACACAUGUGCACACACGCACACACACACGUACACGCGCGCACACGCUCAGUCUUCCUGUUGUCUGAGUGACAAAAACAUCAAGGCGUAUUAACUGUCAUCAUCUCAGCAUCUCUUCAUCUCUCUUUUUGGUCGAGGGAAUAUUUCAAGGUAACACUUUAUUGCUGUGAUGUGAUGUGAUGUGUGUGUGUUUGUGUGUGUGUGUGUGUGUUUGUGUGUGGUUUUCCUCCAUGGUGGAUGUGUGUCUUAAUUAUAACAGGGUUUAGUGAAUUAGGGCAGGAUGUGUAAUAGACUCACAUUUGCAUAAUCUCUGUUGAAUAAACCUCAGUGACAAACAUGUAAGCAGAAAAUCAUACGUGCUUACUGUACUGCAUGACUUCAAACCCCCCUCCCAAAAAAAAAAAAAACAUGAAGAAAGGCGUGUUUGUGACAGUAAUCUAUAGCGUUUACUUAUGUGUGUAUUAAUUUCUGUAUAUUUCCAUAAUCACCCCAUAUUGUGAAAUUGUCAGCAGCAGAUACAGACAAACAGGUGCUGGCUCCAGAGGAAGUUGAUUGGCUUGAUUCCAUGAUCCAUUUUCCCAAGGCUUCCACACCCCUGCAGCUGUCCUCUAGAAUAUGAGAACCAUGUGUGUGUAUGUGUGUGUAUUUGCAGUGCAUGCUUGUGGUUAUGACAAAUUCACUCCUAGUUGCUUGCCAAUAAGGGAGACAAUGAUC